AAGAACUGACUGUAGGCUAAGUACUCAAGCACCGAGUAGGCACUUGUGUUGCCAAUUCAAUCAGAAUCCGCAGUUUAGAGUCAGAAUUUAGAAUCAGAAUCAAACUGAUUCUGUGAAAGACAUCUCUCACACAACUUACAAGUUUAUGUUCCUAACAUUGUUUGAGAAUUCCUGUGCUCUGUCUUGAGAUUGCAAAUAUAAGAACAAGAAGCCCCCACUCCCAUGUGAGGACCACAGGAUUUCAUCUCUACAAACAAGACCUCUCUCAAGAAGCAAAAGACAAAGGAUUAACAUUGGUGUUUUAAAAGAUGCAUCUCACAUCAGCUUGAAGACUCUCAGCAUCCAGGGACCUGAGCAAUAUCAAAUGCCACAGACAGACUCCAUCCAUAAUUUCUAAGUGUCAUUAAAAAAUGUCU